rnacentral:lncRNA from 1 species
GUGGCUCACACUCCUUCAGUAGUUUGGUCACACACCCGAGUGGGUGGCCACAGUCCCUGUUUGGUCACACACCCCUGGCUGGUCACAUACCCUGUGGUGGUCACACUCCCCAUGGUUUGUCAUACUGUCCAUAAUUGGUCAACUCCUUGUUGUGUUCACACCCUCCUUUGUUGGUCAUGCUCAUCAUGGUUGGUCACACUCCCCAUGGUGGUCACACGCCCUGUUGUUGGUCACACCACCAUGGUUGGUCACACUCCCCAUGGUGGUCUCAUGACCUGUGGUUGGUCACACUCACCAUGGUUUGUCACACUCCCUGUGGUUUGUCACAUUCCAAGUAGUGGCUCCCACUCUCAGUGUUUGGUCACAGUUCCCUUGGUUGGCCACAGUCCCUGUUUGGUCACACCCCCCUUGUUGUCACACACCCUGUAGUUGGUCACACUCACCAGGUUGGACAUACUCCCCAUGGUGGUCACAUGCUUUGUGGUGGGUCACACUCACCAUGGGUGGUCACACUCCCUCUUGUUGGUCAUACUCACCAUGGUUGGUCAAACUCCCUGUGGUUGUCAAACUCCUAGUAGUGGCUCACACUCUCAGUGUUUGGUCACACACCCCAUGGGUGUUCACACGCCUGUGGUUGGUCACACACACCAUGGUUUGUCUCACUCCCAGUAGAUCUCACACUGUCAGUGUUUGGUCAUACUCCCCAGGGUUGGCCAGAGUCCCUGUUUGGUCACACCCCCCUGGUUGUCACACAUCCUGUGGUUGGUCACACUCGCCAUGGGUGGUCACACUCCCUGUGGUUGGUCAAACUCCCAGUAGUGGCUCACACUCCCAGUGUUUGGUCACAUACCCCAUAGGUGGCCACAGUCCCUGUUUGGUCAAACCCCCCUGGUUGGUCACACACCCUGAUGUGGUCACACUCCCCAUGGGUUGUAAUACUGUCCAUAAUUGGUCAACUCCUUGUCAUGUUCACACCCUCAUUUGUUGGUCAGGGUUAGUCACACUCCCCAUGGUGGUCUC